UACGUAGGGUGCGAGCGUUGUCCGGAAUUAUUGGGCGUAAAGGGCUCGUAGGCGGUUUGUCGCGUCGGGAGUGAAAUCCACUGGCUUAACUGGUGGCUUGCUUUCGAUACGGGCAGACUGGAGGUAUGCAGGGGAGAACGGAAUUCCUGGUGUAGCGGUGAAAUGCGUAGAUAUCUGGAGGAACACCGGUGGCGAAGGCGGCAUCCUGGACCGAGAUUGACGCUGAGGCGCGAAAGCCAGGGGAGCAAACGGG
rnacentral:rRNA from 1 species